rnacentral:rRNA from 1 species
AUUGAACGCUGGCGGCAGGCUUAACACAUGCAAGUCGAACGCGUGGCGGACGGGUGAGUAAUGCUUGGGAAUCUAGCUUAUGGAGGGGGAUAACUACGGGAAACUGUAGCUAAUACCGCGUACCAUAGGAUGAGCCCAAGUGGGAUUAGGUAGUUGGUGAGGGAAAGGCUCACCAAGCCGACGAUCUCUAGCUGGUCUGAUAGGAUGACCAGCCACACUGGGACGUGGGCACGGCCCAGAGGCCGACGGUCGGCAGCAGUGGGUCAUAUUGCGCAAUGGGGGCAACCUGACGCAGCCAUGCCGCGUGAAUGAAGAAGGCCUUCGGGUUGUAAAGUUCUUUCGGUAGCGAGGCGUUAACUACAGAAGAAGCACCGGCUAACUCCGUGCCAGCCGCCGCGGUAAUUC